UUAAGCUACUUUUUCAUUCUUUCCUUACAUAAUGCGACUAAUUUGAUCAUAUGAUUAAUUUCUUACGUUUUUGUACACCAUUUAACAGGAUGUGGUGACGUUGAAUCAAUUGAUAAUGGAAAUAUUGAACUAGCAAAUACCGGGGACGAAGCCUAUGUUGUUUGCAAUAUUGGAUAUAUUGUCGAGAAUCCAGUUUUGAAAUGUUUAAUUGUGGAUAUCUUUUCAAAGGCUGAGUGUGUUUAUACAGAUAUCUCUACUGUCCAAUGUCAUGUUGAAGGAAAAUGGGAAGAAAAGACAUGCGACCUAAUAGAUUGUGGUCAACCUACGACAGAAAAUGGAAUUGCUACAUUGCUGAACUCGUCUAAUUCAACAUAUAUGACACUAGCUAAUGCCACGUGUAACGAAGGAUACGAAACAAAUAUAUCACAUGUCGAGUGUCAGUCUGAUGCAACAUGGUCA